rnacentral:rRNA from 9 species
AACUUUCAACAACGGAUCUCUUGGUUCUGGCAUCGAUGAAGAACGCAGCGAAAUGCGAUAAGUAAUGCGAAUUGCAGAAUUUCCGUGAGUCAUCGAAUCUUUGAACGCACAUUGCGCCCUUUGGUAUUCCGAAGGGCAUGCCUGUUCGAGCGUCAUU